CGGGAGCUUGCACAGGUGCUGCAUGGCUGUCGUCAGCUCGUGUCGUGAGAUGUUCGGUUAAGUCCGCUAACGAGCGCAACCCUCACUGUGUGUUAUAUGUGUCACACGGGACUGCCGGUUUUAAGCCGGAGGAAGGUGGGAUGACGUCAAGUCAGCAUGGCCUUUAUAUCCUGGGCUACACACACGCUACAAUGGUCGGUACAAUAGGUUGCCAAGCCGCGAGGCGGAGCCAAUCCAAAAAAGCCGGCCUCAGUUCAGAUUGUAGGCUGCAACUCGCCUGCAUGAAGAUGGAGUUGCUAGUAACCGCAGGUCAGCAAUACUGCGGUGAAUACGUUCCCGGGUCUU
rnacentral:rRNA from 1 species